UACAGAGGUCCCAAGCGUUGUUCGGAUUCACUGGGCGUAAAGGGUGCGUAGGUGGCCAGGUAAGUCAGAUGUGAAAUCUCGGAGCUCAACUCCGAAACUGCAUUGGAUACUAUCUGGCUGGAGGGUCGGAGGGGGGACUGGAAUUCUCGGUGUAGCAGUGAAAUGCGUAGAUAUCGAGAGGAACACCAGUGGCGAAGGCGAGUCCCUGGACGACUCCUGACACUGAGGCACGAAAGCUAGGGGAGCAAACAGG
rnacentral:rRNA from 1 species